rnacentral:rRNA from 1 species
UAAUACGUAGGGUGCAAGCGUUGUCCGGAAUUAUUGGGCGUAAAGAGCUCGUAGGCGGUCUGUCGCGUCGGAUGUGAAAAUCCAGGGCUCAACCCUGGACCUGCAUUCGAUACGGGCAGACUAGAGUUCGGUAGGGGAGACUGGAAUUCCUGGUGUAGCGGUGAAAUGCGCAGAUAUCAGGAGGAACACCGGUGGCGAAGGCGGGUCUCUGGGCCGAAACUGACGCUGAGGAGCGAAAGCGUGGGGAGCAAACAGGAUUA